rnacentral:rRNA from 1 species
AGCCAUGCCGCGUGAGUGAUGAAGGCCCUAGGGUUGUAAAGCUCUUUCAGCGAGGAGGAUAAUGACGUUACUCGCAGAAGAAGCCCCGGCUAACUUCGUGCCAGCAGCCGCGGUAAUACGAAGGGGGCUAGCGUUGUUCGGAAUUACUGGGCGUAAAGCGCACGUAGGCGGAUUUUUAAGUCAGAUGUGAAAUCCCAAGGCUCAACCUUGGAACUGCAUUUGAAACUGGGAAUCUAGAGAUCAGGAGAGGUUAGUGGAAUACCGAGUGUAGAGGUGAAAUUCGUAGAUAUUCGGUGGAACACCAGUGGCGAAGGCGACUAACUGGACUGAUACUGACGCUGAGGUGCGAAAGUGUGGGGAGCAA